rnacentral:rRNA from 1 species
AACCUCACCAGGCCAGGACAUUGGAAGGAUUGACAGAUUGAUAGCUCUUUCUUGAUUCAGUGGGUAGUGGUGCAUGGCCGUUCUUAGUUGGUGGAUCGAUUUGUCUGGUUAAUUCCGAUAACGAACGAGACUCUAGCCUAUUAACUAGGCGUUUUCCGGUGUCCCCGCCACCGGCGACAAUCAUUCUUCUUAAGGGGACAGGCGGCUUAUAGCCGCACGAGAUUGAGCAAUAACAGGUCUGUGAUGCCCUUAGAUGUCCUGGGCCGCACGCGCGCUACACUGAAGGAAUCAGCGUGUGCCUCCCUGGCCGAAAGGCCCGGGUAAUCCGCUGAACCUCCUGCGUGCUAGGAAUUGGGGCUUGCAAUUGUUCCCCAUGAACGAGGAAUUCCCAGUAAGCGCGAGUCAUAAGCUCGCGUUGAUUACGUCCCUGCCCUUUGUACACACCGCCCGUCGCUACUACCGAUUGAAUGAUUUAGUGAGGUCUUCGGACUGGCGGUAAUCCCUG